rnacentral:snoRNA from 1 species
ACAGCAUCUUAAACAGGUCGUGGUCUCUGAGCAGUAGGCCAGGAUUUGGUAGCUGGUGCUGAAAGCAAUUCUCUCUUGCAACACUCCCGCUAGCAUCCUUUGGGCUUUUUGGGACUUUUCUGGGAGAGAAACAAAC